rnacentral:rRNA from 1 species
CCUACGGGGGGCUGCAGUGGGGAAUCUUCCGCAAUGGACGAAAGUCUGACGGAGCAACGCCGCGUGAGUGAAGAAGGUUUUCGAAUCGUAAAGCUCUGUUGUCAGGGACGAGCAGGGGGAGUAUCAACAACACUUCCCCAUGACGGUACCUGACGAGGAAGCCACGGCUAACUACGUGCCAGCAGCCGCGGUAAUACGUAGGUGGCGAGCGUUGUCCGGAAUUAUUGGGCGUAAAGGGAGCGCAGGUGGGAAAGUAAGUCUGCUUUAAAAGUGCGGGGCUCAACCCCGUGAGGGAGUGGAAACUAUUUUUCUUGAGUGCAGGAGAGGAAAGCGGAAUUCCUAGUGUAGCGGUGAAAUGCGUAGAUAUUAGGAGGAACACCAGUGGCGAAGGCGGCUUUCUGGACUGUAACUGACACUGAGGCUCGAAAGCCAGGGGAGCGAACGGGAUUAGAUACCCCUGUAGUC